rnacentral:misc_RNA from 1 species
AGGAUUAGAAGAAAUUUUGCAUUUGUUCAGUAUGAAUCGCAGGAGGAUGCUACAAAAGCAUUGGAAGCUACGAAUAUGAGCAAGUUGAUGGAUCGAGUUAUUUCAGUUGAGUAUGCAGUUCGAGAUGAUGAUGAAAGGAGGAAUGGUUACAGCCCUGAAAGAGGUCGCAAUAGGUCACCAGACAGGCGAGGCCAUGAUAAGAGGUGGUCACCAAGUCCUUACCAAAGGGAA